rnacentral:snRNA from 1 species
AUAUUAUUGUGUCACUAUAGUU